CAGCCCUCAGGCCCUCAGCUGCCUGGUGUUGGGGUUCUACAGCAGUGUAGGCCCUGAAAUGUAGUGGCGGUGCUCUCCAGCACUCCGGGCGCAGUAAUUAAUCUCUCGCCUAGGACGUGUGGUGGGCUGCCGGCCGUGAAACCCCCUAUAUUAUAAAA
rnacentral:misc_RNA from 1 species